rnacentral:rRNA from 1 species
GAGAGUUAAACAGUACGUGAAAUUGUUGAAAGGGAAACGAUUGAAGUCAGUCAUACCAACGGGAAAUCAACCUUUUGAGCUCGGUCUCGUGGGUUUUGAAGAGUUUCAAAGCCUUCGGAUUCGCGGGAUUGGGACCUCUUGGUGUACUUUUUCGACCGGUUAGUCAACAUCGGUUUUGAAUGUCAUAAAAUGACUGGAGGAAUGUAGCUUCGAUCUCGUAUUGAAGUGUUAUAGCCUUUGGUAGAUGUGAUGUUUGAGACCGAGGAUUGCAACGGAUACCCUUCAGGGCUAUUCGUCUGAUCUCUGAUACGUUGCCCUGAUGUUGAAAGCUUGCUUAUGAUGUUAGGGUAUUACGGUCAAAAGGUUAGAACGAAUUACAUUCGUUAAGGAUGUUGACGUAAUGACUUUAAACGA